AAACUGAUGAAAUACUUGAGUAUAAUCAAUCAGAUUCUCCAGUUUCGUAAUGAUUGAGUUUUGAUAUUGAUAAAUAUUUUAAUUCACACAGAAGCUUUCUCUUCUGGAUUUAAAUGCACUAAAGUUUAUUACUAUAAUUUAGAAGCUCUUUUUCAAUUCUUCUAAAUUAUAGUAACAAACCAAAGUAGCCAAUUUGUUACUUUAAGCUGUUAAACAGCUUUGUGUCACUGCGUGUCUUGAUUGCCAACGUAGGGUAAAUGAUUGUAAAUAAAGAAAGAUACUCUGGGUGUGAUCAACUCGCUUAACAGAGAACGGCCCAGAACUCACACAUCUCAUAUGACCAGAAAUAGAAGAAACUUAUAGUAUGAGCUUUAGUAGUAGUGUAAGUGUAAAACUUAUAGUAUUUAUAUUUUGUUGUUUUCAUAGAAUUGCAACAGAGUACAGAAUUUUUUUGUUACAUUUAUAUAAAAAAGUGUCUUUAAGAUGAUUGCAUCGACCCCUGUGAUUAUUUUACAAUGACUGACAUGAUGUGAGUGUUUGUCUUUAGAUUGUGAGUCAGAAAUGAAGAGAUUCACAUCAGAAUGGACUGAAUUCACCUGCAACUGUCAAAAAACACCUGGAAAAUGUCAAAUGGUCUGUGUAGCUGAUUGUGGCUCAAAAACUGGAAAAAAGACUCUCAGAGUAAUCCUCAAACAAGUUGAGAACAAGGACCCCAAAAGGAAUGAUGACAAAAAAGAACUGAAAUUUAAACUUGAGGAAAAUGGCUGUCCAAAGCAAUUCAAUCAAACUGCAUACAAAAAAGCUAAAACCACCAUCAGAUGCAAUCAUCCUGAAAAUAAAUCUGAGUUGUGGUUUUUCUGCAAAGAGAACUCUUCUGUCUGUAACAACAUUUUAUCAGACAGAAGAUCCUUUCUCACAAACACAUACAGUGUCUCCAUCAGUGACGUGUCCAUUGAGGACAAGGGUGUCUACUGGUGUGGAGUAAAGUUCACUGAGAACAAUCAUCAUGUCGCACUCACAAAAGUAAAAUUGAAAGUUGAAGAGAUUAAAAAUGUCAAAAGAAGCCCAGUUGUUGGACAGAACUUCACUUACUGGUGUAAAUACAACCAGACUGUCUCCUCAACAACAAAGUUCAUCUGUAAGGGAGAAGAUCCAUCCAUAUGUCAAGCUCUCGUAAACACCAGGCAGCCUGGUGUGAACAACAGGUUUUUCAUGACUGAUAACACAAAAGAGAAAAACAUCACGAUAACAGUGAGAGAAGUAACAGCAGCAGACAGCGGGACGUACUGGUGUGGAGCAGAAACAAAACAACAACAACGCAGCAACAAGUUCUUCAACAGACUGUUUCUGACAGUACAACCAGCACCACCUUCAUCCUCUACCCCUUUAACUACAACAACCACUACAACUGCUAAGAGUCAUGUCACCUUUGGGAUUACCACUGCUGUGAUCAUCGGCGUGGCUGUGUUUCUGAUCGGUUUCUUUCUUAUUUACAUACGAGUUUCAUGUAUAAAAAACAAAGGAAUUAGUGCAUCAUUGCAGCACGUCAAAGAGGACUCUGCCUAUGAGGAAAUCCAGGAGCGCCUCCAGACGCCAGGAAAUGCAGUGGACUCGAUUUAUGUCACUGCCGGCAGAAAACGUCCAGAUAACUCAACCGUCACUCAACCAUCCAGACCAGCAGAGGAGAAUCUCUACUCAGCAGUCAAUGAGCUAGAGCAAAUAUGACAAUAAGAUCAGCUCUGUCAGGAACUUCUAGAUGAUUUCAGCAUUAUACAUCAGACUUGUAGAAUUAGUUUUAGUGAAAAUGUGUUUAGUGUUAAUGUGAUGUUAUGAUUAAAUAAGAUUAAAUAAGACUGAGGGGUUCAGUAACUUGUAUUAGGAUGUUGAAAAUUUGGUUCAGAAUGAAGAGUUAGUAAAACAAACUGUAAAACUAUGUAGCUGCAAAAACCGCGUAUAACCACGAGGAGAGAGAGGUUUUGACUGACUGCUGUAUAUAGAUAGAUAGAUAGAUAGUGUUAAAUCCUUAAUUCUUUAAUCUUUGGGCUGAAGGAAGGACAACACUCGGUGUAUAAACGCUCAAUCAACAAUCUCUUUAUUCCAUACAACACUUUUGAGCAUGAACCACCCGGAGGGGAAAUGAGCGCGGGAGGGUGUCCGCCUGAUCUCGAAGUGUCUGAGCGUUUCUCACAUUCUUAUAGCUUCAGCCCCCCUCCAAAGUCAUAAAACCUAAACAUCCACAUUCUUUCUCUCUCUCCUCUCAGUGAGCCUAAGGUAUGACCUUGGCUUCCUGUGCAGUAUGUUCUGUUCUUUUCUAAUCAGACAAAUAAGGCCACGACUCUCUGAAAACAGUAUUUCUUAUAACUCAGCAGUAAUGCAUCAUAAAACAAUAUCAUUCAUUCACAAUAAAUCAGCAGUCUUAUGUAAUACAAAUCAGUUUAAUAAAUGUAAUAGUUAUCACCUUCUUCUACGUCAGGAGAAUAAUGCAUACUAAAACUACAUAAUGAUUUCACAAUCUUUAAUUAGGGGUAUAAUGUGGCAUAAGAUAAUAUAAUAAUCUCACAAUAUAUAGAUAGAUAGAUAGAUUUUAGUUGGACAGGGUGGGAUUAAGUGAGCGUAUGCUUCUUCACAUUUCUUUUUGACACCUCUGCUUUACAUAAUAGAUUUUUAAAGAUGAAUGUCAUUUGUUUUUUUGCUUUUGAACCACAGAUUCACAACAGGGUCAUUCCUGCUGUGGCUCUCUGUUUGUAUGUGAUGGUGUUGUUACUGUUUCAAGUCACUUCAAACAAAUCGUGCUACAACAAGUCAGCUGAGCUGUUAUUAAACUGUUAUUGAGUUGACAUCUUUAUUUACUCUUACUGACUGGGGUAAAAGGAGCAAUGGAUCAUGAAGAAAAAUCUGUGUUAUGUUAGUAUGUCGCUGUGCAUUCAUAAAAUCUGAAUGCAUGACUACUCAUAUUUAUCUAUGUCAUGCAACUUUCAAGUCACAUUUUCUCUACGCUGCAUAAAUUCAAGCCAGUGAUGAAGAACCAAAAACUGCAGUUCCUCUAAUGACCACCUGACGUUGUCUAGAUAGCGAUUUGUCCCCAAAGACGUCUGUGUUAAAACACUCAACUUUACAGAAGAAAUAAAGAUGUUUUGUUCGCUAAUGUCACAUUGAAAUGAUACUCAAGGAAGAUUAAUACAAGUGAAAUAUUUAAUAUAAUAUAAUAGUAUUUCUGAUAAUUAGCACGGCCCACAGCAGGUGUUUUGUGUUCUGCUGAAGCUCCUCAAAUACAAACUGUCAGCUUUUGCGUUUUUUCAACAAAACAUUUUUAUUUUAAGCUUGUUGUUCAUCAUCAGCACCUUGCUAGCAAGCCAACCACCCAGCUCUAUUUACAAUAAGAUCUUUCUCAUUUUAUUUCAAAUACAAUCACAAAAUCAAAAACAUAAAAUGCAGAAAUUAUUGCAUGGUUCAUGCUAAAUAGAAAUGAUGAUUCGUGGCCAAAAUCACUAAAAUACAAUGAUAGAACCUUUCUUUUUUUUAAUGUGUCUGAAGAGGAAUGGAGCACAAAGGAAAAUAAAUGGGGUUAGUAUGUCACUGUGUAGCAUAAAAUUGUACUACAUAAUAUCUACACAAAAAAGCACAGCACACACCACACUCAGUGAAAAUUCACCAUCCAAGGCUGAGAAGUUAAGCCAACACUCAAGUACCAAAAGCUGCAGCUCCUCUAAUGACUAAUUCAGGUUUUCUCCAAAUAGACUCCUGUGUUAAACCUCUCAACUUUAUGGCAGAAGAUGGAGACCAUGGUGAUGGUCUCCACAGCUUAAUGUUACCUUUAACACAUUUUUUCUAUUCCCUUUUUACUUGCACGUUGCCUUUAAGCAUGUUCCGUAUGUGUUUAUGUAUUGCUCUGGCCCUGAUUAUAUGAAACUAGCAUUUACAUAAAUCAUUUCAUUAGUUAAAAAGCAGAGAGAUGCCAGUUAACACAACUUUCAUCUGAGAGAAAGAUGCCGCUGCUACUAGUACUGUUCAAAGAGGCAGACGAACAUCUUAGAUCCAACAUUUAACAGCUGAAGAUUAAUAACAUUUAAAUUAUAAAUAUGUUUGACAAGUAUUUUUGUUGGUAGUUUGCGAGGCCUGCAGCACAGGUGGUCCUUCUGUUGUCUCAAAAACUUGCUAAACAGUUUUUACAUUUAAUCGACAAGUCUUAUUUAAAACCUGUAAUUCACUUCAGAGCAUCACACUUUACACCUUAAACAAGAAAAAGCCAACAGAUCUAAAACAUGUAGUAAAUAUAGGCUUUUGUCAGCAACACUUGCUGUUUUAAAAAAUGAAUAUUAUAAACUGUGAACACACAUUUAUUUUAGUCUGUGAGUCACUGGCUUUAGUUUCUUCUUAAAUAUUGUUUUUCUGUGUGACAUUAUUUCACACAUCGUGGAGCAAUUCAUUUGUGCGUCCUUUCAUAAUGUGCAAAAUGGAUUUUUAUUAAUAAAUUAACUCCUCUUUUUUUCAUUACAUUGGAGCUUUUAUUUGUGUGUGUGUUUGGGUUUUUUAGGGCCUCAUUUAACCAUCUGAGGUGGGAUUACAUCAGAUUGACUUCAGUUUGUGGAGAGCUCAAAGUGGCUAACACUUCACUUUUCUGAGUGAAAUUCUAGCAGUCGUAGCGUACAGAAUUUCACUGUGAAAAAUAAACUGUAAAUGUAGAACACAAAACGGUAUCCUAUUUUGGUAAAAUUAAAAGCACGGUUAUGUUAAUUUCGAGUAAUUAACAUACAGUUGUAAAUUGUAAAUUCAAAUGAAA
rnacentral:lncRNA from 1 species